ACAAUGCCAUUAAAAAUGAAUACUGCCGUGCAAAAAUAGACAUGACUCAUGAACCAUAUGUUCUUUGGAACCUUUAUCUGUCGCUCUCUUCAAUAAUCUCAUGAAGGAAGUGAACCGAAGGAGGAAAAAGUCAAGAAACAUAUGCCUCUUUUUUUGAAGAAGCCCAAAAGUGCCAUGGAGGGUGGUCCAAGCCUUUGCUCACUUCCCUGAGGAAACACAGACCCUCCAUGCUUUAAAGUGGAAUGAAGCUAAAGCCACUUUAUCUAAAAGAGCAUCUGAAUUUUUGCCGUUGCCCAACGCCUUCUAUCUGAGGAUCGCCGUGCCCUUCAGCGGCAGCUGCCAGGUCUCCGAGGCAUGCUCUGACAGGGCAGGGUUAUCUCUGUGCCUCAGUUUCCUUUCUGGGACGCUGCUGACCUGCGGCUGACACAGAGCUACUAAAGUCUGACACCCACGCUUUUGUUAAUGCACAGGAAUGGUUGAUCUGGCACUUUGAGGGCGACUGGCCACCCCCAGGGCGAUGAACAUUUUUCAGCAAAGGGUCAUCUGGAAGCAGCUCAGCUCCAGAGACCUGACAGGGGUGUGGAGUUCUGAGUGGGACAGACUCCCAGUAAAAGGGUUCUAGUGGCCACAGUUCUCCAAGACUCUGUCUGCUCCUUGCUUUCUCAAAAUGUCUGCAGAGCUAGUUAAGAGUCGCGCUCCUGACAGCAAAGACAGUAAUUUAAUGCUAUGAGACACUGCUGUUUUGGCAAGCCUGCCUGAAAUACAAACAUCAGCGCCUGGCAUGGGCCCUGCCCAGCUCAGCAAUAGCAGCAGCAUUGUCUAACCUGCUCAUGUAGGAAGCAAGGCAGGGAGCUGGGCUUCGGCUCCCGGGUCCAGCCGCAGCUCAGCGAGUGGCUCGGGCAUCUGGGCCUGUCUCCUGACCUCCCGUGCUUUCCUAUUCCCAUUGCCAGGAUGGAGAUACUCAAAGCCUGGCUACCUACCUCCUUCAGGAAAGAACAACUCAAGGAGGAGAGCACAUCGCCCUAACCCUUCCACCAGCACCAGGCCGGGGGACCCUUUGCAGCAACAGCCAGAGCAGAUGCCAGGAUCUGUUUUGAGGAAAAUCUCAGCCCAUUAGCCAGAUGUACAAAACCAAGCGGUUGUACCCUGGUUAUUAAAAAUGAAACAGAUUCAUUAAAA